UACGUAGGGUGCAAGCGUUGUCCGGAAUUAUUGGGCGUAAAGAGCUCGUAGGCGGUUUGUCACGUCGGCUGUGAAAACCCGAGGCUAACCUCGGGCCUGCAGUCGAUACGGGCAGACUAGAGUAUGGCAGGGGAGACUGGAAUUCCCGGUGGAGCGGUGAAAUGCGUAGAGAUCGGAAAGAACACCAACGGCGAAAGCACUCUGCUGGGCCGACACUGACACUGAGAGACGAAAGCUAGGGGAGCGAAUGGG
rnacentral:rRNA from 1 species